rnacentral:rRNA from 1 species
UGGGGAAUAUUGGACAAUGGGCGCAAGCCUGAUCCAGCCAUACCGCGUGGGUGAAGAAGGCCUUCGGGUUGUAAAGCCCUUUUGUUGGGAAAGAAAAGCAGCCGGUUAAUACCCGGUUGUUCUGACGGUACCCAAAGAAUAAGCACCGGCUAACUUCGUGCCAGCAGCCGCGGUAAUACGAAGGGUGCAAGCGUUACUCGGAAUUACUGGGCGUAAAGCGUGCGUAGGUGGUUGUUUAAGUCGGUCGUGAAAGCCCUGGGCUCAACCUGGGAAUGGCGAUGGAAACUGGGCAACUAGAGUGUGGCAGAGGGUAGUGGAAUUCCUGGUGUAGCAGUGAAAUGCGUAGAGAUCAGGAGGAACAUCCGUGGCGAAGGCGACUGCCUGGGCCAACACUGACACUGAGGCACGAAAGCGUGGGGAGCAAACA